CUCCGUAAGUGACUGCGGAGGGAUCAUUACACAAAUAUGAAGGCGGGCUGGUAACCUCUCGGGGUUACAGCCUUGCUGAAUUAUUCACCCUUGUCUUUUGCGUACUUCUUGUUUCCUUGGUGGGUUCGCCCACCACUAGGACAAACAUAAACCUUUUGUAAUUGCAAUCAGCGUCAGUAACAAAUUAAUAAUUACAACUUUCAACAACGGAUCUCUUGGUUCUGGCAUCGAUGAAGAACGCAGCGAAAUGCGAUAAGUAGUGUGAAUUGCAGAAUUCAGUGAAUCAUCGAAUCUUUGAACGCACAUUGCGCCCUUUGGUAUUCCAAAGGGCAUGCCUGUUCGAGCGUCAUUUGUACCCUCAAGCUUUGCUUGGUGUUGGGCGUCUUGUCUCUAGCUUUGCUGGAGACUCGCCUUAAAGUAAUUGGCAGCCGGCCUACUGGUUUCGGAGCGCAGCACAAGUCGCACUCUCUAUCAGCAAAGGUCUAGCAUCCAUUAAGCCUUUUUUUCAACUUUUGACCUCGGAUCAGGUAGGGAUACCCGCUGAACUUAAGCAUAUCAAU
rnacentral:rRNA from 1 species